UACGUAGGGUGCAAGCGUUAAUCGGAAUUACCGGGCGUAAAGCGUGCGCAGGCGGUUAUGUAAGACAGGUGUGAAAUCCCCGGGCUUAACCUGGGAACUGCAUUUGUGACUGCAUAGCUAGAGUACGGUAGAGGGGGAUGGAAUUCCGCGUGUAGCAGUGAAAUGCGUAGAUAUGCGGAGGAACACCGAUGGCGAAGGCAAUCCCCUGGACCUGUACUGACGCUCAUGCACGAAAGCGUGGGGAGCAAACAGG
rnacentral:rRNA from 1 species